rnacentral:rRNA from 1 species
AGUGAACGCUGGCGGUGGGCCUAACACAUGCAAGUCGAACGGCAGCACAGUAAGAGCUUGCCCUUACGGGUGGCGAGUGGCGGACGGGUGAGGCAUACAUCGGAAUCUACUUUUUCGUGGGGGAUAACGUAGGGAAACUUAUGCUAAUACCGCAUACGACCUACGGGUGAAAGCAGAGGAUCUUCGGACCUUGCGCGAUUGUAUGAGCCGAUGUCGGAUUAGCUAGUUGGCGGGGUAAAGGCCCACCAAGGCGACGAUCCGUAGCUGAUCUGAGAGGAUGAUCAGCCACACUGGAACUGAGACACGGUCCAGACUCCUACGGGAGGCAGCAGUGGGGAAUAUUGGACAAUGGGCGCAAGCCUGAUCCAGCCAUACCGCGUGAGUGAAGAAGGCCUUCGGGUUGUAAAGCCCUUUUAUUGGGAAAGAAAAGCAGCGGGUUAAUACCCCGCUGUUCUGACGGUACCCAAAGAAUAAGCACCGGCUAACUUCGUG